UACGGAGGGUGCAAACGUUGCUCGGAAUCAUUGGGCGUAAAGCGCACGUAGGUGGCGUGUUAAGUCGGGUGUGAAAUCCCUGGGCUCAACCCAGGAAGUGCACUCGAAACUGGCACGCUUGAGUACUGAAGAGGGUCGCGGAAUUCCCGGUGUAGAGGUGAAAUUCGUAGAUAUCGGGAGGAACACCAGUGGCGAAGGCGGCGACCUGGGCAGAUACUGACACUGAGGUGCGAAAGCGUGGGGAGCAAACAGG
rnacentral:rRNA from 1 species